rnacentral:rRNA from 1 species
CCCUUAGACGUUCUGGGCCGCACGCGCGCUACACUGACGAAGGCAACGAGCUUUCCUUUACCGAAAGGUACGGGUAAUCUUUUGAAACUUCGUCGUGCUGGGGAUAGAUCCUUGCAAUUUUUGAUCUUAAACGAGGAAUGCCUAGUAAGCACAAGUCAUCAACUUGCGUUGAUUACGUCCCUGCCCUUUGUACACACCGCCCGUCGCUACUACCGAUUGAAUGGUUUAGUGAGGCCUUCGGAUCCGCGACUCGUUUUGUGGAGAAGUUGGACAAACUCAGUCAUUUAGAGGAAGUAAAAGUCGUAACA